GUCUCUUUAGUUUAAAAAGAAUACGGGAUUGUGGUUCUCGGGGUUAGGAGAGACA
rnacentral:tRNA from 1 species